rnacentral:rRNA from 1 species
ACAACUUUUAACGGUGGAUCUCUUGGCUCGUGCAUCGA